rnacentral:lncRNA from 10 species
CGGCAGUCACUUUGCGGCCACUAUGAGGACUGAGCUUCCUCUCCCCAGGACCCGCAUGGGAGAGACCGCGGCUUCGAGACACCUGGGGACACCUGGGGACACCUGGGGCGGCGUCCGCGGUGAGGACUGGGAGACGCUGCUGCAUCUCCGGGACACCACUUGGGGCCGAGGCCAAGGACCCACCCAGGAGGGGCCAUGGCUUCGAGACACCUGAGGACACCUGGGGCCACGUCCGCGAUGAGGACAUCUCUGGGACACCUGGGGCUGCAUCUCCGGGACACCUGGGGCUGACCCUGGUACGGGGAAAGGAGGAGGAACACAGAGACGCCCUCGUGAGGUCGGGGACCAGCAGGCACCACAGUCUAAGGCCAAUGAAACAGGCGCCCCUAGAUGAGUGCUCGGUGUUUGUUUUGUUUUGUUUUCUUUUGAGAAGGAGUUUCGCUCUUGCUCCCCAGGCUGGAGUGCGAUGUCGCGAUCUCGACUCACUGCAACCUCUGCCUCCCGGGUUCAAGCGAUUCUCCUGCCUCAGCCUCCCGAGUAGCUGGGAUUACAGUCAUGCGCCAUCACGCCCGGCUAAUUUUGUAGUUUUAGUAGAGACGGUGUUUCUCCAUGUUGAUCAGGCUGGUCUCGAACUCCUGAUCUCAGGUGAUCCACCCACCUCGGCCUCCCAAAGUGCUGGAAUUACAGGCGUGACCCACUGGGCCCGGCCAGUGCUUUGUGUUUUAAGGCUCUUUUGUUAACGCAGUGGAAACAACACAGGAAAUGGAAAAGCAGGCACAUUAUCAUUCUCAGGCCACUGCAUUUAGCCUGGGCGACAGAGCGAGACCUUGUCUCAAAAAACAAAAACAAAUGAAAACAAAAACAAACCAUUUUGUGUGUCUAAUGGAAGUGACCUCGUCAACAACAGUCUUUUGUUGAGAAAGUCUGUUUAAUUGGCAGUGUAUUUGUAAUGGUACAUAAAAUGACGUCUGCUUUAUAAGCAUUCUCAUUCCUAUAUUAGAUGAAAUGUAUUAACUAUAUCAAGCUUUGAUAUUAUACCAUAAAAUUACUUGAA